CCCUUAGAUGUCCUGGGCUGCACGCGCGCUACACUGAUGUGUCCAGUAAGCACCUAACCUCUUCCGAAAGGAACGGGUAACCUUUGCAAAGCACAUCGUGAUGGGGAUAGAUUAUUGCAAUUAUUAGUCUUGAACGAGGAAUUCCUAGUAAGUGCAAGUCAUCAGCUUGCGCUGAUUACGUCCCUGCCCUUUGUACACACCGCCCGUCGCUACUACCGAUUGAAUGGUUUAGUGAGAUCUUUGGAUUGGCGCUGUGGGGGUGGCAACGCUCCUUCAGAUUGCUGAGAAAUUGCUCAAACUUGAUCAUUUAGAGGAAGUAAAAGUCGUAACA
rnacentral:rRNA from 1 species